rnacentral:rRNA from 1 species
UCAAGAAACUUCCACAAUGGGCGAAAGCCUGAUGGAGCGACGUCGCGUGAUGGACGAAGUGCUUCGGCACGUAAACAUCUUUUAUGUGGGAUGAAAUUAUUGACAGUACCACAUGAAUAAGGGGCUCCUAACUCUGUGCCAGCAGGAGCGGUAAUACAGAGGCCCCAAGCGUUAUCCGGAAUCACUGGGCGUAAAGGGUGUCGAGGCGGUUGUAUUAGUCGUUCGUAAAAUCUACGAGCUUAACUUGUAGGCGGCGAACGAAACGGUACGACUUGAGGUUUGGAGAGGUGCGUGGAACUCACGGUGUAGGGGUGAAAUCCGUUGAUAUCGUGGGGAACACCAGUGGCGAAGGCGGCUCACUGGCUCGGUACUGACGCUGAGGUGCGAAAGCGUGGGGAGCAAACAGGAUUAGAUACCCAAGUAGUCCCUGAGCGGGCUGGCAAGGCGCAU